CCCUGCUUUGUAACCACUUGUUUCUGCUCCAGCUCAGUCUGCAGACAGCAGAGAACUUUCUCUGCAGAGAAAGGUUAUUUUAACUCUUCCAAAAAAAAAAAAAAAAACAAAAAAAAACCAACAAAAAAAAAACCCCAAAAAAAAAAAAAAAAACAAAAAAAAACCAACAAAAAAAAAACCCCAAAAAAAAAAAAAAAAACAAAAAAAAACCAACAAAAAAAAAACCCCAAAAAAAAAAAAAAAAACAAAAAAAAACCAACAAAAAAAAAACCCCAAAAAAAAAAAAAAAAACAAAAAAAAACCAACAAAAAAAAAACCCCAAAAAAAAAAAAAAAAACAAAAAAAAACCAACAAAAAAAAAACCCCAAAAAAAAAAAAAAAAACAAAAAAAAACCAACAAAAAAAAAACCCCAAAAAAAAAAAAAAAAACAAAAAAAAACCAACAAAAAAAAAACCCCAAAAAAAAAAAAAAAAACAAAAAAAAACCAACAAAAAAAAAACCCCAAAAAAAAAAAAAAAAACAAAAAAAAACCAACAAAAAAAAAACCCCAAAAAAAAAAAAAAAAACAAAAAAAAACCAACAAAAAAAAAACCCCAAAAAAAAAAAAAAAAACAAAAAAAAACCAACAAAAAAAAAACCCCAAAAAAAAAAAAAAAAACAAAAAAAAACCAACAAAAAAAAAACCCCAAAAAAAAAAAAAAAAACAAAAAAAAACCAACAAAAAAAAAACCCCAAAAAAAAAAAAAAAAAAAGGAAGACUUUGCUUCACACCAAAACAUGGCAAAUGGUGUCACAGCCUGAAAGAGCAUCUCUGGUUCUGGAAUUUAAAAGGGUCUUUGUCCUGAGCAGCUGAGGGAGUUGGGACUGUUUAGUUUGAGGAAGAGGAGGCUGAGGGGAGACCUCAUCACUCUCUACAACUGCGUGAAAGGACACUGUAGAGAGGUUGGUGCUGGUCUCUUCUCACAGGUAAUUAGUGACAGAACGAGAGGGAACGGCUUCAAGCUCCAACAGGGUAGGUUUAGAUUGAACAUUAGGAAAGAAUUUUUCACCGAAAGAGUGGUCGGGCAUUGGAACAGGCUGCCCAGGGAGGGGGUGGAGUCCCCAUCCCUGGCUGUGUUGAAGGGCCGUUUAGAUGCAGUGCUGAGGGACAUGGUGUAGGGGAGGACUUUGUAGAGUAGGGGAGAUGGUUGGACUCGAUGAUCCCAAGGGUCUCUUCCAACCUAGACCAUUCUAUGAUUCUAUGUUUCAAAUACAAAUUAAAGGACAAAUGGC
rnacentral:lncRNA from 1 species